rnacentral:rRNA from 1 species
GAUGAACGCUGGCGGCGUGCCUAAUACAUGCAAGUCGAGCGAACGGACGAGAAGCUUGCUUCUCUGAUGUUAGCGGCGGACGGGUGAGUAACACGUGGAUAACCUACCUAUAAGACUGGGAUAACUUCGGGAAACCGGAGCUAAUACCGGAUAAUAUUUUGAACCGCAUGGUUCAAAAGUGAAAGACGGUCUUGCUGUCACUUAUAGAUGGAUCCGCGCUGCAUUAGCUAGUUGGUAAGGUAACGGCUUACCAGGGCAACGAUGCAUAGCCGACCUGAGAGGGUGAUCGGCCACACUGGAACUGAGACACGGUCCAGACUCCUACGGGAGGCAGCAGUAGGGAAUCUUCCGCAAUGGGCGAAAGACUGACGGAGCAACGCCGCGUGAGUGAUGAAGGUCCUCGGAUCGUAAAACUCUGUUAUUAGGGAAGAACAUAUGUGUAAGUAACUGUGCACAUCUUGACGGUACCUAAUCAGAAAGCCACGGCUAACUACGUG